UAAAUUUCAGCGUGAGACGAUGCUGUGGUU
rnacentral:piRNA from 1 species